rnacentral:rRNA from 1 species
GGGUACGCCGCAAGUGAAACUCAAAGGAAUUGACGGGGGCCCGCACAAGCAGUGGAGUAUGUGUUUAUUCGAAGCACGCGAAGAACCUUACCAGGUCUUGACAUCGUAUGCAUAGUCUAGAGAUAGAUGAAAUCCCUUCGGGGACAUAUAGACAGGUGGUGCAUGGUUGUCGUCAGCUCGUGUCGUGAGAUGUUGGGUUAAGUCCCGCAACGAGCGCAACCCUUACCUUUAGUUGCUACGCAAGAGCACUCUAAAGGGACUGCCGUUGACAAAACGGAGGAAGGUGGGGAUGACGUCAAAUCAUCAUGCCCCUCAUGACCUGGGCUACACACGUACUACAAUGGCAAUCAACAAAGAGCAGCGAGACAGUGAUGUGGAGCGAAUCUCAAAAAAUUGUCCCAGUUCAGAUUGCAGGCUGCAACUCGCCUGCAUGAAGUCGGAAUUGCUAGUAAUCGCGGAUCAGCAUGCCGCGGUGAAUACGUUCCCGGGCCUUGUACACACCGCCCGUCACACCAUGGGAGUCGGUAACACCCGAAGUCGGUAGUCUAACAGCAAUGAGGACGCCGCCGAAGGUGGGAUUGAUGACUGGGGUG